CCUACGGGAGGCAGCAGUGAGGAAUAUUAGUCAAUGGACGAGAGUCUGAACCAGCCAAGUAGCGUGAAGGAUGACUGCCCUAUGGGUUGUAAACUUCUUUUAUAUGGGAAUAAAAUGUUCCACGUGUGGGAUUUUGUAUGUACCAUAUGAAUAAGGAUCGGCUAACUCCGUGCCAGCAGCCGCGGUAAUACGGAGGAUCCGAGCGUUAUCCGGAUUUAUUGGGUUUAAAGGGAGCGUAGGUGGAUUGUUAAGUCAGUUGUGAAAGUUUGCGGCUCAACCGUAAAAUUGCAGUUGAAACUGGCAGUCUUGAGUACAGUAGAGGUGGGCGGAAUUCGUGGUGUAGCGGUGAAAUGCUUAGAUAUCACGAAGAACUCCGAUUGCGAAGGCAGUUCACUGGACUGCAACUGACACUGAGGCUCGAAAGUGUGGGUAUCAAACAGGAUUAGAUACCCCAGUAGUC
rnacentral:rRNA from 1 species